rnacentral:lncRNA from 10 species
GAGCAUCCAAAGAACACUGUAGUCUUGGUUCUAGCAGUUUCUUUAAAUUGCCUAUUGGUUCAUUGAUGUCUAUGGCCUGGCUUACACAUUCAGCUGGCGCGUAGGUUUGUUCUACAAUGCUUUCUUCUGUGCACUCUGCUUUCUCUGUUCCAUCAAUCUCAAUUUCUAUCAGCUCCUCUGCUUCUCUUUUAGUCGUGGCUGGAGUAUUUCAAAGGCUCAGUCCCACUCCAGAAUCGGCCCUGUCGCCUCCGCCCGCACUCCAGAGCCGGCUGAGAACCGCAGCGGCGCGGGAUCCACGUGCAGCGUCUCUCCAGGUCAAAGCUACCUAGAUGUCAUCAUACAAAUUACAGGCUAUGACGUCCACCUCAUUCUCUUUCUGGAAGGCUGACCUUAACUGUCCUGCACAUUCCUUACACAGCAUAUUUGCCCUUUUCCUAUACUAAUAAGCCCUAAAUCUUGGGGGUAACAGCCUGGGGAACUACCUGUCUUGCUACCACUCAAGACCAUACUUCUGUCCACAAAUUCCCCC